GAGUACCACGACUCCGAUUGGCCGAUCUCGACUCAUCCUAUUAUUUAUUAACAGCGUAUGAAUGGAAUACGGCAAACUGUGAUAUUUGGCCGACGUUCGGCGUCCACCGCAAGAACUAAACGCGAACGAACGAACGGAAAACCGCGUCCAAGAAACUGGUCGUUUUAAGAUUUAGUUCGCGAAUCCGGGGGAUUGAGACUGAUUUUUUUUCUCGUCUCGUAUCGCGAAAAGUGGAACUGAUUCGGGAUUCCAAAGAUGGACGAGAUCCUCAUCCGGUGGUGGCGGAUGCCGAGGUGUUGCGAUACGUAGAAUAAGUCGUCGGUUGCGAAAAUUUUUCUUUUAAGAGUUGCCGAUGUUGUUGCUGGACAAAAUGGAGGAGGGGCCCGAUCUGUCUCACCUUACUCCUGAGGAGAGGGCCAUCAUUGAAUCGGUGAUGAUGCGUCAACGACAGGAGGAGGAACGAGAACAGGAAAUUAUGAGACGAAAGGCCGACGAAGUUCAGAUACUGGAAGACACGAUAAGGUCUAGGAGCGAGCAGCACAAGAAGGCCGGCAUCGAACUGGACGCCACGUGCCACAUAUGUCUCAAGACGAAGUUCGCGGACGGAAUCGGACACAUAUGCAACUACUGUUCGAUUCGAUGCUGUGCCAGGUGCGGUGGAAAGGUCACGCUUAGGUCCAAUAAGGUUGUGUGGGUUUGUAUUCUUUGUCGAAAAAAACAAGAAUUGUUGAGUAAAACCGGUCAAUGGAUGAGCGGUGGAAUAAAUUUGGUCGAAACGGAAAUACCUCAACAACCGCAACAGAUUCCACCAUUUGAUAAACGACCGAAACUGGAAAGGGCGCAUUCGGCGGCCGAAAAGGAAAACCAACCUCUUCAGCGAUCCGGAAGUGCCCUUAGAAGGCAAUAUUCGGAGCAAGAAUCGGCUAAUCCUCCGUGCGGGUACAACGAAGAUGAUCCAAGAUUUUAUCAGGGCGAGAUUGAGGGUCUUAUGCGAACUCAUCCACAUCUCGUACCUAGAAGAUAUCCAGAUCCUGAACCAGAACCCUCACCAAUGGAUAUACCUCAAAGAGGUGUAUCCAGUAUGGGUAGUGCCAAUAAAAAGAAAAGGAUCGCGUCAGCAAAAAAACAUCACCACCCAUCUCAUCCCCAACUGCAAGCAUCCUUUUCAUCGUCGGAGGAGGAUCUAAAAUCGACGCCCGAAUACGGCAGCGACGAGAGAGACAGCGAAAAGGGGGGUAAUGGAGAUUGGCCACCGUUGAGCCAUUACAUCAUGGCACCUCAACAACAUCGUCCCCUACAAGAUGUUACAGCUGACAACCGAUGUUUCACCGAGAGAAGAAAGAAAACGGUUCGUUUCGAUCAACACGAGGCAUGGGAUAGACAGGGUUCGCAGGAUAGUCAUCGGGAUUCUGGAAUUGAUACAUCUUCUACUUUCACGUCUAGCGAGGAUUCGACACGAGGCGACAUGCCAAAGCAUCCGUUAUCUUGGCAAGUAUCCGCGGAUGGGACCCGAAUGAUCGGUCAUAUGAUUCUAAGAAAAGGUACAUCUAGAGAAGCGACCGGUUCUAGUGCUGUUCUGCUAGGUUUAAAAGUAGUUGGUGGUAAAAUAUUAGAACAUGGUUACAAAGGAGCUAUUAUUGAAAAAGUGAAAAAAGGCAGCAUAGCGGAUGUUGAAGGCCAACUAAAAGCAGGCGAUGAAGUUAUUGAAUGGAAUGGUAGGUCAUUACAAGGAAAAAGUUACCAAGAGGUAGCUGAAAUCAUUGCCGAAAGUAAACAAGAAGCUAAUGUCGAAUUAAUAGUAUCUAGAAGUAUGGGAAGUAGAAGAGCUGCUCAGGCCAGUUGGAGACAGUCUGUGGCUCAUAGAGGUCAAGCCCAAUGGGUAGAAUCGGAAGGUUAUGAACGACCACACGUUCUAGUUACAUCACCAGGAAGUCCUGAACGACCAAGACCCGGUCCAACGAUGCCUCCAAGUGUCGGAGGACGCGUUCAAUUACGAAUAGUCUUCGAACCAACCACAUUACAACUGUUAGUGACGAUAAUUUGCGCAUCUGGCCUUAUGCCAAGAUCGCCACAUCAACAACGGAAUCCUUAUUGCAAACUAUUCCUCUUACCGGAUCGAUCGGAAAAAUCUAAAAGAAGAACGAGAACGCUCGCUGGUACAACUGAACCAAUGUGGAACCAAACCUUCGUUUACUCAGGUCUUAGACGGGCCGAUUUAAAACAAAGAGCUUUGGAAAUAACCGUUUGGGACUAUGAAAGAUAUGGACCAAAUGAUUUCCUCGGUGAAACCGUCGUAGAAUUAUGGUCUUUUGAAGAUGUUCCUAUGUGGAAACAGUUAGGUGCACAUGAAGAAGUUGCUUUAACGCCAAGCGAACAUCUUUCUCCUCCAAGCACCGGUUCGAGAUUUUCCGAUUCUGAUACUCCAUCUGAAUGCGAAAUUGAUGGUGGAAGAGAGCGAAGAGGAGCUGAUGGCGCUAGUGUGAGUAGUGUUGGUAGUUCUACUAGUCCACCAAGAGAAUCUGAUAGGAGAUCUAGAAGGGACCAGGAAACUAUGUCGAGUUAUUCACAAACAGCUUAUAGAAAGAGUGGAAUGGCGAAUCAAAGAUCUCAUUCGGCGGCUCCAUGUGAAUCCCCAAGUAUGCACAUGUCUAGAUCACGUUCAAAAUCUCCUAGAAGAUCAGCAACCGAUCAUCGAUCUCUAUCACCUCCAGACGUCCGGAUAGAAUACCCACCUUCUUCUUCCUACUCAACUAGAUUCCAAUCGCGAUCAGCAACGGCAACACCAACAGGUUCUCCAAAAAAGCGUCAUCUUCCCCAAGUACCACACGCUUUAGCACGUGCUAUACAAGAUCGGGUUUCGCAACAAGACUUCGACGAACGUCCUUCGCAUCACGGAGGAGGACACAGUGGCCACGGAGGUGGACGACAUCGCGUACGAUAUCACGUGCCAACGUAUCGGAUGACCGGAACAGGUUGGGAGAGACGUCUAAGCGGGCUUAGUGACAGUGAUUUGGCAACUCAUUCGAGAACUAGGAGGGCCCUGUCGCCGGAUCGAGGCGAUAGGGAUCCCUCUGCACUCGUUGAUUUUGAUAGUGAUAUGGAAUCGGUUGCGUCGGUGACGAGCAGUGCUUUUUCGACACAAUCGGAGCGACCAAGAGGAAAUACAAGAAUAGUCAGCGCUGAUUAUGGGACCGGAAGUGAUAGAUAUCCUUACGCCACGCACAGACAUCCAUCGACGAGAAGUAGAGAUAGGGAACGAGAACGCGAGCGAGAUCAUGAACCUGAACAAAUGGAUCAUCAUCAGUAUCAUAGACAGCAUAGAGAUGGAAGUGUUAAAAGGGGCCAAUUUACCAGGAGUUUGUCCAAUAAUGAAACUCCAGCUGAUGAAAAAGCAGACGGUAGUUUGAGUGAUACAGCCGUUGGUCAAUUGCACGGAUUGGAGGUGCCUCAAAAAGAACCAACUAGAAAAGAUAGUCACCGUGAACGCGAUAGAGAUAGACAAAUUCAAUUUGGUGGACUCAAUAAAAAAAGCAGUUCAACAAGUCAACUGUCGGCAACAGUAGGUCGAAAGAGGCGGAUGGGUUUCGGAAAGAGAGGAAAAACUUCGUUUACCGUCCAUAGAUCUGAAGAAGUGAUACCGGGAGAUGUAAGGCUCUCAAAACAGGGAUCUUCAGCAUCUAGCGAAGGAGAUUUAUCUGCUGAUGGCGACAGGUGGUCUCCCUUAUUAAGAUUGGCAGGGGAAGGGGGUCAAUUGGCAGAAUUCAUCGAUGGUUUGGGACCUGGGCAAUUGGUAGGAAGACAAGUCCUUGGUGCUCCUGCUUUAGGAGAUAUCCAAUUGUCGUUGUGCUAUCAAAAAGGAUUUUUAGAGGUUGAAGUUAUAAGAGCUAGAGGACUUCAAGCUAGACCUGGAUCUAAAGUAUUACCAGCACCUUACGUAAAAGUUUAUUUGGUAAAUGGAAAAAAGUGUAUAGCAAAAGCGAAAACAUCGAUGGCAAGACGUACUUUAGAUCCUCUCUAUCAGCAGCAAUUAGCAUUUAAGGAACCAUUUCAAGGCUGUGUAUUACAGGUGACAGUAUGGGGCGAUUACGGUCGAAUAGAAGGUAAAAAAGUGUUCAUGGGUGUAGCCCAGAUUAUGUUGGACGAUUUAAACUUAAGCAACAUCGUCAUCGGAUGGUACAAGCUCUUCGGGACGACGUCCUUGGUUAGUGGACCUUCCUCGAUCAGCCUUUCACGCAGGAGUUCAAUGGCUAGCCUAGAUUCCCUUAAACUAUAACCGGAUUUAUCCCGUUACGAUAACGAUCUCACCUCAUUGUAGCUUUUUAUAGAAACGUCAUGUGAAACGCUUUGAAAAAGUAACCGAAAUCCGCUUUCACACUCCCUCUUUGUGCCUUGUUUCGUUAUAAAUGGUUCCUUAUUCACCCCUCAGCUACUUGUCAUCAUCUGAUUUCUUAUAUUGCAGACUUCGAACGCUGACCGCCGUGUCGUUUAGUGAACUAUGAAGAAAAGGUCGUCCAAAAGGAGAACGACGAAAGACUGAAGCGGAGAAAUCGCAUCGGUUGUUACAUAAACUACAUCAUCAUUUGUAAAAAGCUAGAAUAUGAACCAUAUACUUAUGAUUAUAUCCCAGAAUGAAACAGCUAAAUAAAUAAAUAAACGAAGUAUUUCAAUGAUCGCAAAAUGGUGCGUACUUAAGAAUUAUAGAUUAUGACUUGUAGACGUUAAAAAACAUGGGAUAGUGUGAAUCUAGUUCAAUAAGAGGCUAAAAAUACUUAAUAUAAAUAUUAUAUAAAAUGAGGAGGAAAUCGUCUAGGAUAUAUGCGCACACAUAAAGACAUAACUGAAUCAUAUCCAUUAUUAAAUUAUAAUGAAAUACGUUGUAUGUACGGAAGUGUGUAAAAAUAAUCGCUGAAUAUUUAAAAGGAUGAGGAUAACUUUUACUUGCUUCCGUAUAAUGGCUUUAUAAUGGAAUUGAUAACCGCUUUUUUACUUGAAAUAAAAUAAUAAAAUUUCAAAAACGAAAAAAAACCAUCUAUAAAAUAAAUCUAAACAUUAGAUAGAUAGAACAAAAUAUGGAAACGAAAGUUAAUGAAAAUAACGAUUAAAAAAAGAACUAAAAGAAACUUGUAUUAUAUGUAUUGUACUUAGGCCCACAUGAACAACAAAAAAAAAUUCAAACAAGAAAAUGUAUAUGAUGAACGUUUGUUGUAACAUAUAAAAAUACUAAUUUGAGAUGAAUUAAUAUUAGUUGUUAAAUUGCAUGUGAUAUAAAAAAAGAAAACCGGUGUUACGAUAUGGCCGUGCUCUUUUUCCCAUCAUUUUCUCGCUUAAAGCGUAAUAUUUAACUGAAAGGUGAAAAUAAAAUAGUUACGAAUCGUGAUGUGUCACUAAAUUAUCUCACCAUAUGAUGAGAAAAUGAAUACUUUUGAAUUUUAAUUCAUCAUCAUCAAUGACCCGACAACCCUCUUUGAGUUCAGGACAAUUUAUCAAUAAAAAAUAUUUAUUUAAGUGUCCUCAAUCAUUUCUGAAAAUUAGUUAUUUUGUAACAUCCUGUAUAUGGCGCAGUAUAUCUAUAAAAAUCUCAAUACAUGUUUUAUUGGGUCACAAUUAUACAAUACACUGAGAUAAGGAACCAAUCUCCAAUAUAUCUGGUAUUGUUCACCUCACCUCUUACAGAGCAGUGAUGCUUAGUUUAUAUCUUUCUAUUUCGCUUAUAUAUCAUUCCAUUUCUGCUUUCCAUACGGAUUUCGACGGAUCACCAAUUUUUUCAUGUUAUCGAUCUAAAUUACAUAUUAUGGUGAGAGAAUUUAGGUACUCAUGUAUAAACAACUAUUUUUAUGAAGGAUUUACUUUAAUUUUUAAAAUUUUUUAAAAAAUUCUUUUUAUUUAUAUAAAAAAAAAUCCUUCCGUACAAAAAGUUGUUAAAAAUUUGAAAGUUACUUUUCGAAUUCGUGUAGAUACCAAUAUAAACCUCUCUAUCAGACAGUUUUUUCAGACAUCAGCUCGGUGCCAUUUCGUCCCUUUUAAAUAUUAAAAUAAUUCUGUAAAUAAUAUAAAAAAGAAUAAAUCCUGGGUUUGCUUGAAAACAUACAGUUCAGAGUUGAGUUCGUAAUCCUAAGGUUACGACUACCAUUAAAAAAAAAAAAGAAGAAACAAUAGUUUAGAUUUUGUACGCGAAAUAACUAUAUUAUUAUUAAAAAUAAAUUAAAUAAUAAAAAAAGAAAACGUGGAGAAAUAAAAAUUAAAUUAAAAAAAGUAUUUAAGUAUAACAUCACACGUGUAAAUACAUUAUAAAAGAAGACCCCUUGAAAAAAAAAGAAUAAAAAUAAAAACGUGUACGAACCCGUCGUUUCGUUAUUAAUUAUCAUUAUGAUUAAAUUAUUAUUAUUAUUAUUACUCUACGAUUAACACCUAAACAAAAAUUCGUCAGCAAAAUUCGAGGUAAAAUGUUAAAUUAUUAAAAGAAACUAUAAAAAAAAACGAUGUGUCGCUGUAAAGUAAAGGGCUGGUUGGAAAUGAAGUGUUAAUUUUUUUUUUUAAUUAAGAAAAUGAGAUAAAUUGAUAAAGUAAGUUAUUGGGCAAGAGCGGCACUUCAUUAUUUCCCCAUCCCUUUUCGCUUAUAUGACUUGUAUGCUUUGUAAAAUUGACCGUACGACGACAGCAUAUCAUAAUGGGAGGUGUCGAGAGGAAAUAGUCCACAUUUAUGUCCGUCUGACACAUUCACUUUGACUGAUGUAUCCAUUUUACCCAGCCCAUGGGCAUGACAAUAAAUAAAUGAUCUAUGAAA